rnacentral:tRNA from 1 species
ACCUAGGUGGCUCAAUGGUUGAGCAUCUGCCUUUGGCUCAGAUCAUGAUCCCAAUUGAGUCCCACUUUGGGAUUGAGUCCCACUUUGGGUU